rnacentral:snRNA from 1 species
GUGCUUGCCUCAGCAGCACGCAUACUAAAAUUGGAACAAUAUAGAGAUUAACAUGGCCCCCAUCCAAGGAUGACACACAAAUUUAUGAAGUGUUCCACAUUAAA